GUGCUGUGCCAUGGUGUGAAGCUGGGUCUUCCUUUGUGCAAGCUGGGCUGGUAUGUAGACCUUCUCCUUCCUUUUGCCUCAAAGCAUCUACCAGUAAAUCCUUGAAACUGAAAAGGGCCAGCCGGCUCAUUGUCAGGAGAGGAGAACUAGAGGGCUUUGUGGCAUAGCAUCUUGGA
rnacentral:lncRNA from 1 species